rnacentral:rRNA from 1 species
UACGUAGGUGGCGAGCGUUGUCCGGAUUUACUGGGCGUAAAGGGCGUGCAGGCGGUUUGCUAAGUCUAGGGUGAAAGCUCCCGGCUCAACUGGGAGAGGUCCUUGGAUACUGACAGACUUGAGGGAGGCAGAGGAGAAUGGAAUUCCCGGUGUAGUGGUGAUAUGCGUAGAUAUCGGGAGGAACACCAAUGGCGAAGGCAGCUCGCUGGGACGGUACUGACGCUGAGACGCGAAAGCGUGGGGAGCGAACAGG